UACGAAGGGGGCUAGCGUUGUUCGGAAUUACUGGGCGUAAAGCGUGCGCAGGCGGCUUCUCAAGUCAGGGGUGAAAGCCCAGAACUCAACUCUGGAAUUGCCUUUGAGACUGAGUGGCUUGAGUACGAGAGAGGUGAGUGGAAUUCCCAGUGUAGAGGUGAAAUUCGUAGAUAUUGGGAAGAACACCGGUGGCGAAGGCGGCUCACUGGCUCGUAACUGACGCUCAUGCACGACAGCGUGGGGAUCAAACAGG
rnacentral:rRNA from 1 species